rnacentral:rRNA from 1 species
UACGGAGGGUGCGAGCGUUGUCCGGAAUCAUUGGGCGUAAAGGGCGCGUAGGUGGCCCGGUCAGUUCGUGGUGAAAGCGCGGGGCUCAACCCUGCGUCGGCCAUGAAUACUGCCGCGGCUGGAGCACUGUAGAGGCAGGCGGAAUUCCGGGUGUAGCGGUGGAAUGCGUAGAUAUCAGGAGGAAUACCGGAGGCGAAAGCGACUCUCUGGACGGCAACUGACGCUGAGGCACGAAAGCGUGGGGAGCAAACAAG